rnacentral:rRNA from 1 species
AUUGAACGCUGGCGGCAGGCCUAACACAUGCAAGUCGAACGGUAGCACAGAGAGCUUGCUCUCGGGUGACGAGUGGCGGACGGGUGAGUAACGUCUGGGAAACUGCCCGAUGGAGGGGGAUAACUACUGGAAACGGUAGCUAAUACCGCAUAACGUCGCGAGACCAAAGUGGGGGACCUUCGGGCCUCACACCAUCGGAUGUGCCCAGAUGGGAUUAGCUAGUAGGUGGGGUAAUGGCUCACCUAGGUGACGAUCCCUAGCUGGUCUGAGAGGAUGACCAGCCACACUGGAACUGAGACACGGUCCAGACUCCUACGGGAGGCAGCAGUGGGGAAUAUUGCACAAUGGGCGCAAGCCUGAUGCAGCCAUGCCGCGUGUAUGAAGAAGGCCUUCGGGUUGUAAAGUACUUUCAGCGGGGAGGAAGGCGGUGAGGUUAAUAACCUUGCCGAUUGACGUUACCCGCAGAAGAAGCACCGGCUAACUCCGUGCCAGCCGCCGCGGUAA